rnacentral:lncRNA from 1 species
AAAUAGCUGGUUUGCUCAUGAGCGUAACCAUUCUUGCUUGAUUCUUACUUCUGCACCCAGAUCUUAAGUGCAAGUGAGCCCAAGAAUAUGGGCCCAUCCACACCUGCCCUCUAGGUGAUCUCACAAGCUCUUGGCUUCAGCCACCACCCAUAGACUGCCAACCUGCAGAUCUGCAUCUCAGUUUGUUCCUGACCCCUGUUAAUUCAUACUGCUCCCUCAUGACAGUCUCCACCUGGUGUCUCAUCACCUCCCACCUCAGUUCAAUUGAUGUCAAACCUGAUGUUUGCCUCUGCUCCCCACCUCAGAUUCUGCUCUCCUCUACCUCUCAGACCAAGUCAUAGCACCUCCACCUCCUAUGUA